UCGAACGGAAACGAUGCUAGCUUGCUAGCAGGCGUCGAGUGGCGGACGGGUGAGUAAUGUAUAGGGAUCUGCCUGAUAGUGGGGGACAACGUGUGGAAACGCACGCUAAUACCGCAUACGCUCUACGGAGGAAAGCGGGGGCUCUUCGGACCUCGUGCUAUCAGAUGAACCUAUAUCAGAUUAGCUAGUUGGUGAGGUAAUGGCUCACCAAGGCGACGAUCUGUAGCUGGUUUGAGAGAAUGAUCAGCCACACUGGGACUGAGACACGGCCCAGACUCCUACGGGAGGCAGCAGUGGGGAAUAUUGCACAAUGGAGGAAACUCUGAUGCAGCAAUGCCGCGUGUGUGAAGAAGGCCUUAGGGUUGUAAAGCACUUUCAAUAGGGAGGAAAAGUAUAAGUUUAAUACACUUAUGCCGUGACGUUACCUAUAGAAGAAGGACCGGCUAACUCCGUGCCAGCAGCCGCGGUAAUACGGAGGGUCCGAGCGUUAAUCGGAAUUACUGGGCGUAAAGCGCGCGUAGGCGGAUAGAUAAGUCAGAUGUGAAAUCCCUGGGCUCAACCUAGGAACUGCAUUUGAAACUGUCUAUCUAGAGUAUGGUAGAGGUGAGUGGAAUUUCAGGUGUAGCGGUGAAAUGCGUAGAGAUCUGAAGGAACAUCAGUGGCGAAGGCGACUCACUGGGCCAUUACUGACGCUGAGGUGCGAAAGCGUGGGUAGCAAACAGGAUUAGA
rnacentral:rRNA from 1 species